rnacentral:tRNA from 1 species
GUUCUUCUAGUUAAAUAAUAACGGUGGUUUUUCAAUCCAUAGUUCUUGGUUAAAGUCCUAGGGAGAAUU